GAUGAACGCUAGCGGCAGGCUUAAUACAUGCAAGUCGAGGGGCAGCAAGGGUAGCAAUACCUGUUGGCGACCGGCAAACGGGUGCGGAACACGUACGCAACCUUCCUUUAACUGGAGAAUAGCCCCUCGAAAGAGGGAUUAAUACUCCGUAACAUAGUGAUGAGGCAUCUCAUUAUUAUUAUAGCUCCGGCGGUUAAAGAUGGGCGUGCGCCUGAUUAGAUAGUUGGCGGGGUAACGGCCCACCAAGUCUGCGAUCAGUAACUGGUGUGAGAGCACGACCAGUCACACGGGCACUGAGACACGGGCCCGACUCCUACGGGAGGCAGCAGUAAGGAAUAUUGGUCAAU
rnacentral:rRNA from 1 species